GACAGAUGGUUCCUACCCGAGUUUUGCCUCUGGGGGCUGAAGAGGUGUUUCACUCUGAGCAAACGGUGGAACGCUGGCAAUUAUGACUGAGAAUUUGUGAGUUACCAAGUGUACUUUAAAGUAUGGAUCUAGAAGACCUUUGAAAGAAACAUCACUUCCAUUCUGUGCAUUUUGCUGAAAAGAUGCAAAUUACAGGAAGAUCUACCGAUGUCCCUAAGGAUGGAGUCAUUCUCUGUUUCGCAUCUGCUCCCACAGCCUCAGACUUAGCAUGGGCACGCCUUUUGUAGGGAAACGCUAAGUGUGGUUAUUUGGUACGGCUACUGGUGUAC